rnacentral:tRNA from 1 species
UCAGUGGGUAGUUUAAUUUAAAAUAUUAAUUUUGGAGAUUAAUGAUGGGGUUUCUUUUCACUGA